rnacentral:rRNA from 1 species
UACGUAGGAGGCAAGCGUUGUCCGGAUUUAUUGGGCGUAAAGCGCUCGCAGGCGGCUCGAUGCGUCGUGCGUGAAACACCCCGGCUCAACUGGGGAGGGUCGUGCGAUACGGUCGGGCUGGAGGCCAGUAGGGGGAUGCGGAAUUCCGGGUGUAGUGGUGGAAUGCGUAGAGAUCCGGAGGAACACCAGCGGCGAAGGCGGCAUCCUGGACUGGUCCUGACGCUCAGGAGCGAAAGCGUGGGGAGCGAUCCGG